UGCUGUAAGUUCAAUUUUUCUCUUUGGAGAUUUCUUAUGGCCACCAUUUCUCUGGAAUAAAGAUAUUUAAAAGAACGGCGGGAGUUCCAUUUCUCUGUCUCUCUAACUUAAUGGCAAACCUUCUCUCCCACGCGUCCAUAACUCCCAGACUUAAUUCUGACCAUCAAAAUAUCAUUUUCUCUCCAAUUUAUCCUAGAAAAUUCAACAGAAUUCGCUGUAACGGAGAGAACCCAUCCACCAGAAAAGAAUCGGAGCCUGAGAAUGCCCUGCUCAAGGUAGCUUGGUACAGCUCCGAGCUUCUUGGCAUCGCCGCGUCAUUUUUCCGUUCACCUUCAGUUACUAGUGAAGCGAAUUUCAAGCUCUCCAUUGACGACUUGGGAAGCAUUGAUCGUGCCACAGUCGUCCAAUCUAUCAAAGAUGACUUCCAAAGAUCGUAUUUUGUCACAGGGAAUCUCACAUCCGAUGCAUAUGAAGAGGAUUGUGAAUUUGCUGAUCCAGCUGGUUCAUUUAAAGGACUUCGACGUUUCAAAAGGAACUGCACAAACUUCGGAUUACUUCUUGAGAAGUCCAAUAUGAAGCUUAUGAAGUGGGAAGACUUUGAGGAUAAGGGAAUUGGAUACUGGCGAUUUAGCUGUAUCAUGUCAUUUCCUUGGAAGCCUAUUCUUUCUGUUAAACAAUCCACUCAUGGGGACUACACCAGUUUUAGCUUCCACUUAAGAGAUGUGUUCAUCAUUAAUAGAUAAAAUGAGAAGGGCUUUUUACAUCAUACAAGAACCUUGCUCUUCAUUGAAUUGUGAGCUACUGGAUAUACGGAGUACUAUUUUGAUGUGCAGUCCGGAAGAGUAUGCAGGCAUGUCGAACAUUGGAAUGUACCCAAAAUGGCACUUCUAAAACAGAUUCUAAGACCCAGCCAGAGAUUUAGGCUUGGCAGAGGAAGAGGCUAUUGAAGGAUACAUGAACCUUAUUUCUGAGACAAGAUUGAACAUUUGAUAUGCAUUUCAUGAGAAAGAAAGAUGUACAUCACAUAAGAACCCCUCUA